rnacentral:rRNA from 1 species
CUAGCCCUAAACGAUGUAGACUAGGCGUCGGUGGUUUAAACGCCAUCGGUGUCCAAGCUAACGCGAUAAGUCUACCGCCUGGGGACUACGGCCGCAAGGUUAAAACUCAAAGGAAUUGACGGGUCCCCGCACAAGCAGCGGAGCGUGUGGUUUAAUUCGUUGCUACACGAAGAACCUUACCUGGGUUUGACAUAGCAGUGGUAGGGAAGCGAAAGCAGACCGACCCUUCGGGGAGCUGUUACAGGUGU